GGAGAGGUCGCAUAGUGGCCUAGUGCGCUCGCUUGGAAAGCGAGUAGGGGUAACACCCUCGCGGGUUCGAAUCCCGCCCUCUCCG
rnacentral:tRNA from 1 species